rnacentral:rRNA from 1 species
GACGAAUGCUGGCGGCGUGCUUAACACAUGCAAGUCGAACGGAAAGGCCCUGCUUUUGUGGGGUGCUCGAGUGGCGAACGGGUGAGUAACACGUGAGUAACCUGCCCUUGACUUUGGGAUAACUUCAGGAAACUGGGGCUAAUACCGGAUAGGAGCUCCUGCUGCAUGGUGGGGGUUGGAAAGUUUCGGCGGUUGGGGAUGGACUCGCGGCUUAUCAGAUUGUUGGUGGGGUAGUGGCUUACCAAGGCUUUGACGGGUAGCCGGCCUGAGAGGGUGACCGGCCACAUUGGGACUGAGAUACGGCCCAGACUCCUACGGGAGGCAGCAGUGGGGAAUAUUGCACAAUGGGCGGAAGCCUGAUGCAGCAACGCCGCGUGCGGGAUGACGGCCUUCGGGUUGUAAACCGCUUUCGCCUGUGACGAAGCGUGAGUGACGGUAAUGGGUAAAGAAGCACCGGCUAACUACGUG